rnacentral:rRNA from 1 species
GCGACGCCGUGUGAGGGAAGAAGGCUUUCGGGUCGUAAACCUCUGUCAGGAAGGAAGAACCUCUCAAGGCUGAACAAGCCUUGGGACUGACGGUACUUCCAGAGGAAGCACCGGCUAACUCCGUGCCAGCAGCCGCGGUAAUACGGAGGGUGCAAGCGUUAAUCGGAAUCACUGAGCGUAAAGCGCGCGUAGGCCGUCUUUUAAGUCGGACGUGAAAGCCCUCGGCUCAACCGGGGAACUGCGUUCGAUACUGGGAGACUUGAGUGCUGGUGAGUGUGGCGGAAUUCCGGGUGUAGGAGUGAAAUCCGUAGAUAGCCGGAGGAACACCGGUGGCGAAGGCGGGCACCGGGACAGGUACUGA